rnacentral:lncRNA from 1 species
UUUCAGUUGUAGAUGGAUGGAGCUGAGGAUCAAAACCAGUGCCUCGAAUGUGCUAGGCAAGCACUUUGCCACUGAGCUACAGCCCCAGCCCUUUAACCCUUCUGGAACGAGUGCAUUUUCUGCUGUUGCUCUCACCUUGGACAUCAGACUCCAGAUUCUUCAGCCUUUGAACACGGGCUUGCACCAGAGGCUCCCCAGAGUGUUGCAGGACUCCAGGUGUGGACUGGGACUGCAUCAUUGGUCCCUCUUAUUCUGAGGCUUCCACUUUCUUGGAUUGGUUUCCCCAGCUUUCCAGCCUACAGAUGACCACUAUGGGACUAUUCAGCCUCUGAUCAUGUGAGCAAUCUAAUAAAUCCACCUCUAAGACACAGCAUGGUGGCACAUACCUAUAGUGCCAACUACUUAGGAGUCUGAGAUAGGAGGAUCACUUGAGGCCAGUCUGGGCAACAUAGCAAGGUACUGUCUCAAAAAAAAAAAAAAUCACCCCAUCUUAUAAUUAUAUGUAAUCUGUUGGUUCUGUUCCCUAGAGAACCAUGAUUAAUACAAAACACUAGGAAGUAGAUCCUAUCCUUGCUCUCAGAAGUCAUCUAGGAUGGGUCCUUAGCAGGAAGACAUGCCUCGGAAGAGUGGCAGAGGGUAAAUGAUGAUAAGUCCUUUGCCCUUGAACUGGCCUAUCCUUUGAGACCACCAGUGUUUUCAAGACACAUUGGCUGAAAUUCAUACAUAACAUUUUCUCUCACAAUCUACGUGUUAUUCAAAAAUUGAGUCAAACCUAUUUCUUUUUCUUUUUUUUUUUUUUUUGAGAUUCCUAAACAGGGCUCCAAGCUAUCCUCCUGCCUCAGCUUCCCAAGUAGCUGAUGCUGCAAGUGCAGACCACAACCUUGGCUUCAAAUCUGUCUUAUCAAAUUACAUUAUGAAAUAUUUAUCAUUACUCUUAUGUCAUCUUAUAAAAUGUUCAAUAUUUUCUAUUUAUUAUAACAAAGAAUAUGCCAAUUCCAGAUUAAUAUUUUUAGUAGUAAAUACCUCAAUAAAUGAUGCUCUCUAUAUUUAAGAAAU